UAUUGCUAAUAAAACUGUUAAACCUGAAAUCAUCUCGAACUCAAGUGUUUUACUAUUAAAAGUAAAAACUAUUUAACUACUUAUUACAAAAAAGGGAAUUUUUUAUAGUUUUUAUGUAUUAAAAAUUAU
rnacentral:rRNA from 1 species